GAAGCAGGGCCUGGAACUGCAGGAUACACUCCCCUCCUGCUACCUAGGCAGGCGUGAGGGUGUGACGGCCGCGCAUUCGCCAGACGAGAGCGAUGGCUGAGAACGCCGCACCAGGUCUGAUCUCAGAGCUGAAGCUGGCUGUGCCCUGGGGCCACAUCGCAGCCAAAGCCUGGGGCUCCCUGCAGGGCCCUCCAGUUCUCUGCCUGCACGGCUGGCUGGACAAUGCCAGCUCCUUCGACAGACUCAUCCCUCUUCUCCCGCAAGACUUUUAUUACGUUGCCAUGGAUUUCGGAGGUCAUGGGCUCUCGUCCCAUUACAGCCCAGGUGUCCCAUAUUACCUCCAGACUUUUGUGAGUGAGAUCCGAAGAGUUGUGGCAGCCUUGAAAUGGAAUCGAUUCUCCAUUCUGGGCCACAGCUUCGGUGGCGUCGUGGGCGGAAUGUUUUUCUGUACCUUCCCCGAGAUGGUGGAUAAACUUAUCUUGCUGGACACGCCGCUCUUUCUCCUGGAAUCAGAUGAAAUGGAGAACUUGCUGACCUACAAGCGGAGAGCCAUAGAGCACGUGCUGCAGGUAGAGGCCUCCCAGGAGCCCUCGCACGUGUUCAGCCUGAAGCAGCUGCUGCAGAGGCAGAGAACAGCAUUGACUUCGUCAGCAGGGAGCUGUGUGCGCAUUCCAUCAGGAAGCUGCAGGCCCAUGUCCUGUUGAUCAAAGCAGUCCACGGAUAUUUUGAUCCAAGAGAGAAUUACUCUGACAAGGAGUCCCUGUCGUUCAUGAUAGACACAAUGAAAUCCACCCUCAAAGAGGACUACUUCGGAUACAAUCACAGCAACCCUGGCCUCGGCCCUGCCCUGUCCCUGCCAUGCAACUUCACAACUCAGCUGGCCUAGACCCCUGGGAGGCCUCCAAGUCCCUAAGCGGUUCCAGUUUGUGGAAGUCCCAGGCAAUCACUGUGUCCACAUGAGCGAACCCCAGCACGUGGCCAGUAUCAUCAGCUCCUUCUUACAGUGCACACACACGCUCCCAGCCCAGCUGUAGCUCUGGGCCUGGAACUAUGAAGACCUAGUGCUCCCAGACUCAACACUGGGACUCUGAGUUCCUGAGCCCCACAACAAGGCCAGGGAUGGUGGGGACAGGCCUCACUAGUCUUGAGGCCCAGCCUAGGAUGGUAGUCAGGGGAAGGAGCGAGAUUCCAACUUCAACAUCUGUGACCUCAAGGGGGAGACAGAGUCUGGGUUCCAGGGCUGCUGUCUCCUGGCUAAUAAUCUCCAGCCAGCUGGAGGAAGGAAGGGCGGGCUGGGCCCACCUAGCCUUUCCCUGCUGCCCAACUGGAUGGAAAAUAAAAGGUUCUUGUAUUCUCA